rnacentral:rRNA from 1 species
CUGGAACGGGCCGUCAUAGAGGGUGAGAAUCCCGUCUGGGAUGGGCGGAAGUGCCCGUGUGAAGCUCCUUCGACGAGUCGAGUUGUUUGGGAAUGCAGCUCUAAGUGGGUGGUAAAUUUCAUCUAAAGCUAAAUACUGGCCGUCGUUUUACAGCGCACAAGUAGAGUGAUCGAAAGAUGAAAAGCACUUUGAAAAGAGAGUUAAACAGCACGUGAAAUUGUUGAAAGGGAAGCGUUGUCCACCAGACUCGCCCGGGGGGGCUCAGCCGGCACGUGUGCCGGUUUACUCCUCUCCGGGCGGGCCAGCAUCGGUGUGGGCGGCUGGUGAAAGGCCCCGGGAAUGUAACACCCUCCGGGGUGCCUUAUAGCCCGGGGUGCCAUGCGGCCAGCCUGGACCGAGGCCCGCGCUUCGGCGAGGAUGCUGGCGUAAUGGUGGUCAACGGCCCGUCUUGAAACACGGACCAAGGAGUCUAACAUCUAUGCGAGUGUUCGGGUGUCAAACCCGUCCGCGCAGUGAAAGCGAACGGAGGUGGGAGCCUUUCGGGGCGCACCAUC